rnacentral:rRNA from 1 species
CACGUAGGGCGCGAGCGUUGUCCGGAAUUAUUGGGCGUAAAGAGCUCGUAGGCGGCCUGUUGCGUCCGCUGUGAAAGCCCGGGGCUUAACCCCGGGUCGGCAGUGGAUACGGGCAGGCUAGAGGUAGGUAGGGGAGAAUGGAAUUCCCGGUGUAGCGGUGAAAUGCGCAGAUAUCGGGAGGAACACCGGUGGCGAAGGCGGUUCUCUGGGCCUGACCUGACGCUGAGGAGCGAAAGCGUGGGGAGCGAACAGG